AAUGUAUGUUUAUAUGUGAUGAGACCUAAAACCCUCAACCAAACCAUUAUUAAGUUGAUAAGCGAGAGAUGCUUUGAACAUCUCUUCGUAGGCUUUCCACCAUGGUGGGUUCAAUCGUUUGUGACUCAUACACCGUAUUCGUCCAGUUCUGUGGUAUGCAAAGAAUGUGCUUACAUUCAGGAGAAGCCUAUAAACAUAUGAUGAAGUGAAGGUAGGCAACGAGUAUGAUCAAUAUGAUAUUCUUUUGAGGUCAUUCUUGAACCCCUACUUGAACUAGCAUGGUGGGAAUGACUUAACUAAGUGCAAUGGUGCCAAUAUGAUAUUCUUCUGAGGCAUCAUUCUCUAGAGGCCAAAUUAGAUGGGUAAUUACAAAAGUUGUAAAUGGCUAAAGCGUUAUCCUCUCAUCAUUAUUGUUGCUAGCCAAUAUGAUACUCUUCUGAGGUGGGCUUGGUAAUAGUGAGCCUCCCAUACCCUACUAAGAGUUUCUUCCAAAACUCUCGAAUUCCGAUGAGGGAUAUGGAAUUUGCCAAAAAUAGUGGGUGAUGCUAUUUGAUUUAAAGACCCGAAUCAAAUGGCUUAAAAUCAAUCAAUUUAUAUUCGUUAUGUAUUUGUUUACCUAUAUAUUUGCAAACGCUAUCCAAAACUUGACAAAGAAAAGCCGAAUGCUUUAGUUUCCGGACUUGGUACCACAAUCCCAAAGAUUGUCUUAAAUGGAUUGUAUAUGUACCCAAGUAGUCUAAUCCUCACAAUCUUCCUAUUGAUAAUGUAUCAUUGGAAGAACAUGUUAGAUAAGUCUAUCAUAAAGAGGACAACACUUUUAAUGUCAUAGUUCUUCACUUACAAAUCGUUGUAUGAAGAAAUCAGAGUUGCUUUGAACAACCCUUAGCUAAUGCAAACACUAGUGCUUGUUUCCUUGUUAAAUGAACAAAGAACUUGAGAAGAAAGCACAAGGGCAUGGACACUUUAUGUGCCAUGAUUCUUCACUUACAAAUUGUUGUAUGAAGAAAUAAGAGUUGCCUUGAACAACUCUUGAAAGUUUGUAAUUAUGUUUAGAAAAUAAUGGUUGGUUGACAAAAAUAGUCCAUCAACAUGGACUUAUGAUGAUUUUAAAUCAUUGAGUGUUGAAGUGUUAAACCACUUCUAGAGACGGAAACUAGGCAAGGACUUCACCUUGGUGUCCCUAUCCAAAUGGUUCACUAAGUUUAUUGUAAACUAUAUAGUGAACAAUAACCACACACUCUCCAAAUCGUUGGAUGUGUAUAACACAAUUGAAAUAAGUUUCCAGAGAGAUAGUGGGAGUUUAGGGACCAUGACUAUUGUAGUCAAAGGAGAAGUCAAAUGAAGAAAGCGAAAACUCCAAGGAAACAAACUUUCUUUAUGAAAGGAUGGACAUUGGAAGGGGUAUUUGCAAGAAAUGUCUUGCAAAUGUCAAGAACACACCUUUCGAAGGUGUUGUAAAUUGUUCUUGAAUAGUUCAAAACAGUUGGUUCUUCUACUUGAAUGCUUGAUUCCGUAUUAGUAACCAUGUUUUACAAUCGUUGUAAAAGUGUGGCUAAUAAGAAGUAGAAGAUUAAUGAGAGAAGAGAAAGUACUUCACAUUCGGAAAUUGAAUCAAAUGUAGAUCUCUGCGAAAGCCGAUGGUACUUACUUCCUCAUAUGAACUACCAAAGAAAUUGGAAAAACUAAAGAUUGUCUUUACAUUCCAAUUUUAAGGAACUUAAUUCCGUUACUAUAAGAGAUGGAUGAAUGUUUUGUUUGACAAAACAUUGUUCUUUAUUAAUGAAUGAUUAGAUUAUUGUAAUCUAAUUGAUUGUCUCUAUAGUAGAGAUGAUGUGGUAGUGUUAACUGUUUAGAAUAUAACGAUGCUUAAAACCCAAAAGGUUGCAAGGUAGUGACUAAU
rnacentral:lncRNA from 1 species